rnacentral:rRNA from 1 species
CGAUAAGCGCCGGUAAGGUGAUAUGAACCGUUAUAACCGGCGAUACCCGAAUGGGGAAACCCAGUGUGACUCGUCACACUAUCAUUAACUGAAUCCAUAGGUUAAUGAGGCGAACCGGGGGAACUGAAACAUCUAAGUACCCCGAGGAAAAGAAAUCAACCGAGAUUCCCCCAGUAGCGGCGAGCGAACGGGGAGGAGCCCAGAGCCUGAAUCAGCAUAUGUGUUAGUGGAAGCGUCUGGAAAGGCGCGCGAUACAGGGUGACAGCCCCGUACACAAAAGCGCAUGUGCUGUGAGCUCGAUGAGUAGGGCGGGACACGUGGUAUCCUGUCUGAAUAUGGGGGGACCAUCCUCCAAGGCUAAAUACUCCUGACUGACCGAUAGUGAACCAGUACCGUGAGGGAAAGGCGAAAAGAACCCCGGCGAGGGGAGUGAAAAAGAACCUGAAACCGUGUACGUACAAGCAGUGGGAGCACAGGUUUACCUGUGUGACUGCGUACCUUUUGUAUAAUGGGUCAGCGACUUAUAUUCUGUAGCAAGGUUAACCGAAUAGGGGAGCCGGAGGGAAACCGAGUCUUAAUUGGGCGUUAAGUUGCAGGGUAUAGACCCGAAACCCGGUGAUCUAGCCAUGGGCAGGUUGAAGGUUGGGUAACACUAACUGGAGGACCGAACCGACUAAUGUUGAAAAAUUAGCGGAUGACCUGUGGCUGGGGGUGAAAGGCCAAUCAAACCGGGAGAUAGCUGGUUCUCCCCGAAAGCUAUUUAGGUAGCGCCUCGUGAAUUCAUCUCCGGGGGUAGAGCACUGUUUCGGCUAGGGGGCCAUCCCGGCUUACCAACCCGAUGCAAACUGCGAAUACCGGAGAAUGUUAUCACGGGAGACACACGGCGGGUGCUAACGUCCGUCGUGAAGAGGGAAACAACCCAGACCGCCAGCUAAGGUCCCAAAGUCAUGGUUAAGUGGGAAACGAUGUGGGAAGGCCCAGACAGCCAGGAUGUUGGCUUAGAAGCAGCCAUCAUUUAAAGAAAGCGUAAUAGCUCACUGGUCGAGUCGGCCUGCGCGGAAGAUGUAACGGGGCUAAACCAUGCACCGAAGCUGCGGCAGCGACACUAUGUGUUGUUGGGUAGGGGAGCGUUCUGUAAGCCUGUGAAGGUGGCCUGUGAGGGUUGCUGGAGGUAUCAGAAGUGCGAAUGCUGACAUAAGUAACGAUAAAGCGGGUGAAAAGCCCGCUCGCCGGAAGACCAAGGGUUCCUGUCCAACGUUAAUCGGGGCAGGGUGAGUCGACCCCUAAGGCGAGGCCGAAAGGCGUAGUCGAUGGGAAACGGGUUAAUAUUCCCGUACUUGGUGUUACUGCGAAGGGGGGACGGAGAAGGCUAUGUUGGCCGGGCGACGGUUGUCCCGGUUUAAGCGUGUAGGUGUGUGUUCCAGGUAAAUCCGGUUCACUUUAACACUGAGGCGUGAUGACGAGGCACUACGGUGCUGAAGCAACAAAUGCCCUGCUUCCAGGAAAAGCCUCUAAGCAUCAGGUAACAUCAAAUCGUACCCCAAACCGACACAGGUGGUCAGGUAGAGAAUACCAAGGCGCUUGAGAGAACUCGGGUGAAGGAACUAGGCAAAAUGGUGCCGUAACUUCGGGAGAAGGCACGCUGACACGUAGGUGAAGUGAUUUACUCAUGGAGCUGAAGUCAGUCGAAGAUACCAGCUGGCUGCAACUGUUUAUUAAAAACACAGCACUGUGCAAACACGAAAGUGGACGUAUACGGUGUGACGCCUGCCCGGUGCCGGAAGGUUAAUUGAUGGGGUCAGCGCAAGCGAAGCUCCUGAUCGAAGCCCCGGUAAACGGCGGCCGUAACUAUAACGGUCCUAAGGUAGCGAAAUUCCUUGUCGGGUAAGUUCCGACCUGCACGAAUGGCGUAAUGAUGGCCAGGCUGUCUCCACCCGAGACUCAGUGAAAUUGAACUCGCUGUGAAGAUGCAGUGUACCCGCGGCAAGACGGAAAGACCCCGUGAACCUUUACUAUAGCUUGACACUGAACAUUGAGCCUUGAUGUGUAGGAUAGGUGGGAGGCUUUGAAGUGUGGACGCCAGUCUGCAUGGAGCCGGCCUUGAAAUACCACCCUUUAAUGUUUGAUGUUCUAACGUGGACCCGUGAUCCGGGUUGCGGACAGUGUCUGGUGGGUAGUUUGACUGGGGCGGUCUCCUCCUAAAGAGUAACGGAGGAGCACGAAGGUUGGCUAAUCCUGGUCGGACAUCAGGAGGUUAGUGCAAUGGCAUAAGCCAGCUUGACUGCGAGCGUGACGGCGCGAGCAGGUGCGAAAGCAGGUCAUAGUGAUCCGGUGGUUCUGAAUGGAAGGGCCAUCGCUCAACGGAUAAAAGGUACUCCGGGGAUAACAGGCUGAUACCGCCCAAGAGUUCAUAUCGACGGCGGUGUUUGGCACCUCGAUGUCGGCUCAUCACAUCCUGGGGCUGAAGUAGGUCCCAAGGGUAUGGCUGUUCGCCAUUUAAAGUGGUACGCGAGCUGGGUUUAGAACGUCGUGAGACAGUUCGGUCCCUAUCUGCCGUGGGCGCUGGAGAACUGAGGGGGGCUGCUCCUAGUACGAGAGGACCGGAGUGGACGCAUCACUGGUGUUCGGGUUGUCAUGCCAAUGGCACUGCCCGGUAGCUAAAUGCGGAAGAGAUAAGUGCUGAAAGCAUCUAAGCACGAAACUUGCCCCGAGAUGAGUUCUCCCUGAGACUUAGAGUCUCCUGAAGGAACGUUGAAGACGACGACGUUGAUAGGCCGGGUGUGUAAGCGCAGCGAUGCGUUGAGCUAACCGGUACUAAUGAACCGUGAGGCUUAACCUUACA